ACAACCACAUCAUCUUGAAACGCUGGUUCCUGUACGAUCCUCAAAGUUAAGCAAUGUCAAGCCUGAUCAGUGCUUAGAUGAGUCACCACUUGGGAAUACCAGGUGCUGUAAG